rnacentral:rRNA from 1 species
GAUGAACGCUGGCGGCGUGCCUAAUACAUGCAAGUCGAGCGAACAGAUCAGGCGCUUGCUCCUUUGACGUUAGCCGCGGACGGGUGAGUAACACGUGGGUAACCUACCUAUAAGACUGGAAUAACUACGGGAAACCGGGGCUUAUGCCGGAUAACAUUUAGAACCGCAUGGUUCUAAAGUGAAAGAUGGCUUUGCUAUCACUUAUAGAUGGACCUGAGCCGUAUUAGCUAGUUGGUAAGGUAACGGCUUAUCAAGGCAACGAGACGUAGCCGAGGUGAGAGGGUGAUCGGCGACACUGGAGCUGAGACAGGGUCCAGACGCCUACGGGAGGCAGCAGAAGGGAAUGGUCCGCAGUGGGCGAAAGCCUUACAGAGCAACGCCGCGUGAGUUGUGAAGGUCUUCGGAGCGUAAAACUCUGUUAUGAGGGAAGAACAAAUUUGUAAGGAACUGUGGACGGCUUGACGGUACCUAAUCAGAAAGCCACGGCUAACUACGUG